GGUCCCGCCUGCCCAAUGAUAUAGAUUAAAUGGCCGCGGUAUUUUGACCGUGCAAAGGUAGCGUAAUAACUUGUCUUUUAAAUGGAGACCUGUAUGAAUGGCAUAACGAGGGUCAACCUGUCUCCUUACUCCAGUCAGUGAAAUUGAUCUUCCCGUGCAGAAGCGGGAGUAACACCAUAAGACGAGAAGACCCUAUGGAGCUUUUAGACGCCAGGGCACACCAAGUUAAAACUCCUAAGCUAACAGUAUAAACAAAUUGACCCUGCCCCCGUGUCUUUGGUUGGGGCGACCGCGGAGAAGAAUUCAACCCCCGCGCGGAAUAGAAAUACCUAUCUUUUGAAAUAAGAGCCACAGCUCGAAAAGCCAGAAAGUCUGACCAAGUAGAUCCGGCAAAGCCGAUCAACGGACUUAGUUACCCUAGGGAUAACAGCGCAAUCUCCUCUUAGAGCCCCUAUCGACGAGGAGGUUUACGACCUCGAUGUUGGAUCAGGACAUCCUAAUGGUGCAGCCGCUAUUAAGGGUUC
rnacentral:rRNA from 1 species